UACGUUAGUUGGCAGCAUCUUUAUCACAGACUUUCCAGAAAUCUGUCGCAGACUUGUUAAGCCAUCAAAAAACCUUAUUUAGUUCUAGCUCUAGGCUAUGGGACUAUGAGGACUCCGAGACGGUGUCCAAGUGAGAUGGCUGGCGAGGUUGUUCGAGGUAAUUUCAUGAUGAGGAUGGACCAGACUUUAAGACAUUCUGAGCUCCAUGAAUGUCAUGAGACACUCCAGGAGACGGUGGUUGCAAUGCAUUAUCAACACCCCGCAACCCCAACCCUCCAAUGGAACCCAGAACCCUCCGGAGUUCCUCAGGACCUGCCGGCAUGAGUGAGGCGAACACAUCGUGCGUUGGAGGAAGAGUUGCAGUGACGACUUGGACCACAGGCCAGAAGCCUGAAAUAGAUUCUUUGAGAAUCUUAAAAGUCAAACAACUGGGCCUUGCGGGGAGGACUGAUGACGUGAGAAAAAAAGGAAAAAUUUGAUGAGCAGACGUGAGCGGCAGUGGUGCUGGUGGCGCAGGAUGUCCUGGAGGAGGACGACCUCGACUACCUCAAAGGAGCUGAUGCUAGCCUUGUGCCUGAUGGGGAAACAAGUGCACAUUUGUUGUGCUCUGUCUGAGAUGGAGAAGUGUGCGCCUUGCUGGCGUACUUCAAUUGAUGCCUGCAAGCCCAGCCAGCGAGUGACCGA